rnacentral:rRNA from 1 species
AGUGAACGCUGGCGGCAGGCCUAACACAUGCAAGUCGAACGGCAGCACCGUAAGAGCUUGCUCUUACGGGUGGCGAGUGGCGGACGGGUGAGGAAUACAUCGGAAUCUACUUUUUCGUGGGGGAUAACGUAGGGAAACUUACGCUAAUACCGCAUACGACCUACGGGUGAAAGCAGGGGAUCUUCGGACCUUGCGCGAUUGAAUGAGCCGAUGUCGGAUUAGCUAGUUGGCGGGGUAAAGGCCCACCAAGGCGACGAUCCGUAGCUGGUCUGAGAGGAUGGUCAGCCACACUGGAACUGAGACACGGUCCAGACUCCUACGGGAGGCAGCAGUGGGGUAUAUUGGACAAUGGGCGCAAGCCUGAUCCAGUCAUACCGCGUGGGUGAAGAAGGCCUUCGGGUUGUAAAGCCCUUUUGUUGGGAAAGAAAAGCAGCAGGUUAAUACCCCGCUGUUCUGACGGUACCCAAAGAAUAAGCACCGGCUAACUACGUG